UACGUAGGGUGCGAGCGUUUAAUCGGAAUUACUGGGCGUAAAGCGCACGUAGGCGGCUUUGUAAGUUAGAGGUGAAAGCCCGGGGCUCAACUCCGGAACUGCCUUUAAGACUGCAUCGCUUGAAUCCAGGAGAGGUGAGUGGAAUUCCGAGUGUAGAGGUGAAAUUCGUAGAUAUUCGGAAGAACACCAGUGGCGAAGGCGGCUCACUGGACUGGUAUUGACGCUGAGGUGCGAAAGCGUGGGGAGCAAACAGG
rnacentral:rRNA from 1 species